rnacentral:tRNA from 1 species
AUGUACUACAUUUACUUUACUUUUAGCUUAUGAAUAAUCCUUUCAAACUUGUAGUAGCAC